ACAUUAGAAGAAAAUAGUCCCUACCGUCUAGAAAGUUUUCAGGGGAAAAGAGGGCGUUUGACGUGUGGGUGGGUGUGCGGAAAGCGCCAGCACGAGCAGCGGGAGCGGCGAACGCCGGGGGCUGGGCUGCAGAAGAAUGUAAAUUACAUUUGGAAAGAUCAGGCUCGAAGGCUCUCAUUUACCCUCACCAGAUACUUAGAAUAAGAUUUCGGUGCGAUAGUAAUUUUGCCAAUGGAGGCCGACUCCCUAAAACAUCACCCUGCCAACAGUGAAGCCGACAUUGUUAACGAUAUGAACCAACACUGAAAGCCUUCAUCAGUAAUACAUACCUGCAGUCAGAAUUUGAAUGUGACCUGGCCAAAUGUAUUUACUCAUUCAAUGCUUAUUUAAAUAAGUGGUAGGCCUUGGAGAUACCUCAGUUCUUAUAUUCUUUCAUAUUGCUGUUCAGUAGGAACAUAAGCCUCCAAAAUUGUCUGCCUGCAUUCACCCAUGGCCCUCCCUGCAGCUACAGUGGUCUUUUAAAAAUGACCAUGUGGGACUUUCCUGGUGGUCCAGUGGCUAAGAAUCUGACCGCCAAUGCAGGAGACAUGUGUUCGAUCCCUGGUCCGGGAAGAUACCACGUGCUGCAGAGCGACUAAGCCCAUGCACUGCAACUGUUGAAGCCUGCUCGCCUACAGCCUGUGCUCUGCAAUGAAGAGUAGCUCCUGCUCACAGCUAGAGAAAGCCUAUGCACAGCAGGAAAGACCCAGCGUGGGCAAAAAUAAAUAAGUAC
ensembl:lncRNA